AACGAACGCUGGCGGCGUGGUUUAGGCAUGCAAGUCGAGCGAGAAAGUCCUUCGGGACGAGUACAGCGGCGAAGGGUGAGUAAUAUAUAGGUAACCUACCUCUUGGACUCGGAUAAUUCCUGGAAACGGGUUGUAAUACGAGAUCGUCCUAUUGGGUCGCAUGGCCCGACUGGUAAAUGGUAGCUCUGCUUCUGCCGAGAGAGGGGCCUAUAUCCUAUUAGCUAGUUGGUGAGGUAAUGGCUCACCAAGGCUUUGAUGGGUAGCCGGACUGAGAGGUUGGCCGGUCACACUGGGACUGAGACACUGCCCAGACUCCUACGGGAGGCUGCAGUCGAGAAUCUUCCGCAAUGGGCGAAAGCCUGACGGGGCGACGCCGCGUGAACGAAGAAGGCCUCGGUUGUAAGUUAC
rnacentral:rRNA from 1 species